UACGAAGGGGGCUAGCGUUGCUCGGAAUCACUGGGCGUAAAGGGUGCGUAGGCGGGUCUUUAAGUCAGGGGUGAAAUCCUGGAGCUCAACUCCAGAACUGCCUUUGAUACUGAAGAUCUUGAGUUCGGGAGAGGUGAGUGGAACUGCGAGUGUAGAGGUGAAAUUCGUAGAUAUUCGCAAGAACACCAGUGGCGAAGGCGGCUCACUGGCCCGAUACUGACGCUGACUGCAACGAAGGCCAGGGGAGCAAACGGG
rnacentral:rRNA from 1 species